UCUCUGUUGGUCUGGAGGGAUUCCUUCUUUGUCUUGGAUCUUGGCUUUAACAUUUUCAAUUGUGUCUGCAGGCUCCACUUCUAAUGUGAUGGUCUUGCCGGUCAGGGUCUUCACGAAAAUUUGCAUACCACCUCUCAGACGGAGUACAAGGUGAAGGGUGGAUUCCUUUUGAAUAUUGUAAUCAGACAGUGUGCGGCCAUCUUCCAACUGCUUUCCGGCGAAAAUCAAUCUCUGUUGGUCUGGAGGGAUUCCUUCCUUGUCUUGGAUCUUGGCUUUAACAUUUUCAAUUGUGUCUGCAGGCUCAACUUCUAAUGUGAUGGUCUUGCCGGUCAGGGUCUUCACGAAAAUUUGCAUACCACCUCUCAGACGGAGUACCAGGUGAAGGGUGGAUUCCUUUUGGAUAUUGUAAUCAGACAGUGUGCGGCCAUCUUCCAAUUGCUUUCCGGCGAAAAUCAAUCUCUGUUGGUCUGGAGGGAUUCCUUCUUUGUCUUGGAUUUUGGCUUUAACAUUUUCAAUUGUGUCUGCAGGCUCCACUUCUAAUGUGAUGGUCUUGCCAGUCAGGGUCUUCACGAAAAUUUGCAUACCACCUCUCAGACGGAGUACCAGGUGAAGGGUGGAUUCCUUUUGGAUAUUGUAAUCUGAAAGUGUGCGGCCAUCUUCUAAUUGCUUUCCGGCGAAAAUCAAUCUCUGUUGGUCUGGAGGGAUUCCUUCUUUGUCUUGGAUUUUGGCUUUAACAUUUUCAAUUGUGUCUGCAGGCUCCACUUCUAAUGUGAUGGUCUUUCCAGUAAGGGUCUUAACGAAAAUUUGCAUACCACCUCUCAGACGGAGUACCAGGUGAAGGGUGGAUUCCUUUUGGAUAUUGUAAUCAGACAGUGUGCGGCCAUCUUCCAAUUGCUUUCCAGCGAAAAUCAAUCUCUGUUGGUCUGGAGGGAUUCCUUCUUUGUCUUGGAUCUUGGCUUUAACAUUUUCAAUUGUGUCUGCA